rnacentral:ncRNA from 2 species
CAGCCCGAUGGGGAUGGAGUGCCCCCGAAACCGCCCUCAAGGCUGAUGACUCCUACCGUGUU